rnacentral:tRNA from 1 species
GUUACUUUGGCAGAUUAGUGCAAUGAAUUUAGAAUUCUUAUAUGUAUGUAUACAGGUAAUAU